rnacentral:lncRNA from 1 species
CCCAGGCUCACAGUGUUAUUUGUGAAAAUGGCCAGCAUGAGGAAUUAUUAAUUAAAGCUAACAAAUCACCCUGACGAGCUGGGCCCUGGCAUGGCUGAAGGUUGAUUGGCGAAAGUGUUCUCCUUUGGAGAAAAGACUUUUUGUGCUCGUGACGCAGUCAGGGACGGAUUAUUGAAUAUGCAAGUUAGAAGAAAAAUCACAGGACAAGCAAAUUGAGUAUUUACUGGCAAAUAAUUGCUCUCUUAAGCUGUGGCUCUCUUCCUAAAAUUCUUAACAUUCCCGAGGGUUAGAAAGAAACUCAGAAAAAUGCAUCGAUACAGAGUACAUUUCAAAAAAAAUACAUAGACUGAUGUUUCAGACUUGUGCAGAAUGUGUUGCCAUCAAUAACUCGAUAUUCCUCACAACAUUGCUGGCUGAGUUUUCUGUGGAAAAGCAGGAAAAGAGAAGUGGAGGAGGAAGGACUCCCUCCAUACCCUGUGCUAAACCUACCAGGUGUCACUGUUUCAGUGGGAGUCUGGAAAGAAACUGUCAGAGGACACAUCUGAACCUUGCAGUGGCUGGCACUUUUCCUCUACAUUGUGAGAAAAAGAAAAUUAGCUGGAAUAAAACCUUGCUUUCCAUAUGGUGGACUUGAAAAGCAGCAUUGAAAAGUUCCUUGACCAUCAGAUUGUCAGCUACCCCUUCUCUUUAU